GUGGGAAAAUGUUACAUACUGAGGGUAUUGUGAGGCGUAAGUGAGCUGAUGGCAUUUUUAAAGAUAUAAAAAGGAGGGAGCUGGGUGGCUCAGUGGAUUGAGAGCCAGGAGGUCCUGAGUAUGCAUCUGACCUCAGAUACUUCCUAGCUAUGUGACCCUGGGCAAGUCACUUGACCAGCAUUGCCUGUUCCUUACCACUCUUCUGCCUUGGAACCAAUACACUGUUGACUCUAUGAUGAAGGGUCUGGCAUCAUGGCUAGAGAAUCAUGAACACAUGCAGAGGUUGGAGCAUGGACAAGAAGAACCAUGGAUCAUGGCAGGGGAGUGUGCAUGAGUUGCUUGUUCAUUGUUUGCCAGAAAACAGUAACUAAUCUACAAUUACAGAGUUAAGAAGCGAAAUGGAAAAUGAGGGGAUGCCCUUCAUUUGGAGAAUGACUGAAAAAAUUGCGGUAUAUGUUGGUGAUGGAAUACUAUUGUG
rnacentral:lncRNA from 1 species